UGUGGCUCAGUGUUAGAGCACUUGACCCUCACACAUGAGGUCCUAGGUUCAAUUCCUGGCA
rnacentral:tRNA from 1 species